rnacentral:rRNA from 1 species
UACGGAGGGGGCGAGCGUUAUUCGGAAUUAUUGGGCGUAAAGGGCGCGUAGGCGGCUUGAUGUGUCAAAGGUGAAAUCCCUCGGCUCAACUGAGGAACUGCCUUUAAAACUGUCUGGCUUGAGGCCGGGAGAGGGUAGCGGAAUUCCCAGUGUAGCGGUGAAAUGCGUAGAUACUGGGAGGAACACCGGUGGCGAAGGCGGCUACCUGGACCGGUUCUGACGCUGAUGCGCGAAAGCGUGGGUAGCAAACAGG